GACGAACGCUGGCGGCGUGCUUAACACAUGCAAGUCGAACGGUGACGAGGAGCUUGCUCCUCUGAUCAGUGGCGAACGGGUGAGUAACACGUGAGCAACCUGCCCAGACUCUGGGAUAACAGUUGGAAACAGCUGCUAAUACCGGAUACGAGACGGAGAGGCAUCUCUACCGUCUGGAAAGUUUUUCGGCUGGGAUGGACUCGCGGCCUAUCAGCUAGUUGGUGAGGUAAUGGCUCACCAAGGCGACGACGGGUAGCCGGCCUGAGAGGGCGACCGGCCACACUGGGACUGAGACACGGCCCAGACUCCUACGGGAAGCAGCAGUGGGAAUAUUGCACAAUGGGCGAAAGCCUGAUGCAGCGACGCCGCGUGA
rnacentral:rRNA from 1 species